rnacentral:rRNA from 1 species
AGAGUUUGAUCCUGGCUCAGGGUGAACGCUAGCGGUGCGCCUAACACAUGCAAGUCGAGCGGUAGAAUCUUUUAGCUUGCUAAAAGAUUUGAGAGCGGCGAACGGGUGAGUAACACGUUGGAAUCUGCCCCCAAGUCAGGGAUAGCCAUUGGAAACGAUGAUUAAUACCGGAUGUGCUCUUCGGAGUAAAGAUUUAUCGCUUGGGGAGGAUCCUGCGUACUAUCAGCUUGUUGGUGAGGUAAUAGCUCACCAAGGCUAUGACGGUUAACUGGUCUGAGAGGAUGAUCAGUCACAAUGAAACUGAGACACGGUUCAUACUCCUACGGGAGGCAGCAGUGAGGAAUCUUCCACAAUGGACGAAAGUCUGAUGGAGCGACACCGCGUGAAGGAUGACGGUCUAACGAUUGUAAACUUCUUUUCUGAGGGAGCAAAAUGAGAGUACCUCAGGAAUAAGGGACGGCUAAUUAUGUGCCAGCAGCCGCGGUAAUACAUAAGUCCCAAGCGUUACCCGGAAUUAUUGGGUGUAAAGGGUCCGUAGGCGGACCUAUAAGUCAGGUAUGAAAGACCGGAGCUCAACUCCGAGUUUGUGCUUGAAACUGUAGGUCUAGAAUCAGGGAGAGGUUAGCGGAACUCUUAGUGUAGGGGUGCAAUCCGUAGAUACUAAGAAGAACACCAAAAGCGAAGGCAGCUAACUGGAACUCGAUUGACGCUGAGGGACGAAAGCGUGGGGAGCGAAGAGGAUUAGAUACCCUCGUAGUCCACGCCCUAAACGAUGAUAACUAAGUGUUGCAUGUAGAUGCAGUGCUGUAGCUAACGCGUUAAGUUAUCCACCUGAGGAGUACGGGCGCAAGCUUAAAACUCAAAGGAAUUGACGGG